CUGGCCAUUGUGAUAAAAAAUUAUAACCUCUCCUCUUAUCUUUCAAGCGCAAGAGAGGAAUCAUCUGAUGUAGAGGUCGCCAGGCCCAUAGCGACUGUUGGGGAUUAGCAGAAAGCUGCCAGAGCCGCUGUUUACAUUUAGGGAUUCCGCAACAUGAAGUUAAAUUACAGCUAAGAACAGCAGGGAAAUGAAGGAAUAUGUCUCUCCUGUCCCACCUUAUGG